CAGAAGUGGCGGCCCUGCUGAGCCGAAGGAAAACCAGGACAAGGCAUCUUGUCUGCUUAGCUCUUGUCUUGUUGCCAUCCCCCAUAGCCUUUAGGCUUCCUUUGCUCUAGAUGGUUCAUGUUGUUGGAGAACCACACUGCAGCACUUGAGCAAAGCUGGCUGUGGUUCCCCAUGCCCAAGCUGCAGGGAGAGCUUCUACCCCCACCAAGGACAGUGCCAGCGCUGCUGGCAGGCCCUCCCGCACAGGUGAGUCAUGUCUGAGUCACUUGUCCCUGCGCCAGGAACAGCCAGCCUUUUCUCAGGAAGCAGAGCACACUUUCUCACUGACAUAAGGCUAAGCAAAAAGGACAGGUGAGGCGUCAGCAUGCAUGUGUUCCCAGCCAGCCAAAGCCUGGAGAAGCCCUGACGGAAGAUUAGAGGCAUCUGUUGUCAGUUCCGAGGCCUUCUUCUGCUGGAUCAAAGUGCUCAAGUCAUGCAACAUUAAUAAUGCCCUCCAGGAAGUCACGAGGGAGCACCUAUCUCCAGAAUAACAAACAGAUAUCUACCAGGAUGGGCUGAGUGUGACUUAAUGUUUGAAGAAAUUCUGAGCAAUUCUGGAUGAUUGGCCCAGUAAGGCACUAUUUCGAGGUGACUAGUAGAGAUGAGGUCGUAAGUUCUCGUAUUCUACUCUUGAUAAAUAACCCCCAAAUGACCCUUUAAAGAUGGCAUUACUCUAAAUUGUCUGCAGAGGAAUGUCAACCUGGUACAUCUAGGGACAUUCAUUCCAACUUUCUUUUGGGAAUAAAGGUGAUGUAUUCUGAAUAUAUCUGGUUUCC
rnacentral:lncRNA from 1 species